CUCUCAUUUCAUGUGGAUCGUUGAACGCAGUCGGUCGAUGGGGUUGAAUCCCUGAUGCAAUUUUUCUUAAUUGUUACUCAUCAUUGUUAAUUUGGGAUUGCGAACAGCAGAAAUUAAUUGUUUCUUAACAAAGAGAACCCUUAAAACUAAGUAUUUCAACGGAAUUCGUUUAGUGCGUUAAACGAAGUGGCACGUGUUUGCCCUGAAAUGACCUUGUUGGAAUCUGCAAAAGACUUCGUAAAGAAAACUGAUUUCAUUAACCUACAUUUGCUUGACUAUCCAAUUUGUAAAAUCUGUUCGCUACCCUUUUGUCGUGUUAAUAUUGAUAGUGAAAUGCUUAAGUGUGAAAAUUUCUUCGUUGGUGUAAAAUUUCCAUCGCGUGGUUUUUGGUGUAUCUGACGACAUCCUCCGACUGGUUGAACUGUGAAACCUGCCCCUUUGCUGCAAUGCUGUUCGCCGUAACGAGCAAUCGGGAGACGGGACGUGGUUUCUGGAUUAUUCAACGGUCAUUAUCAUCUUGUGCAGCAGUUAAGGUCAGACAUUUUUACGCGCAUCGUUUCGUGUAGUAGAACAACAGCGAAAAGAAAAAAAGGUCCUUAAUCGUAAUAAUUGAUUAGGUACCUUUUUGUAUUAUUAUUAUUAUUUUUUUCUCUCUCGUUUCAUCACAUGGGAAGCGAUUGUAUCAUUCGUUUGAACGAGUGGCUCACGAAAUAUAUUUUUUUUUAUAUU